rnacentral:rRNA from 1 species
AUGAACACCGAUUCUGAUGGAUGGCGCGCGCAGAUGCAUGCCCUUAUCCGUAUGGUUCCUCCGGAGCCUCGGGAACCAGAAGCAGAAGACAAGAAGAAGGAAAGAGUCGCAGUCGGUGCUCCUUUCACGUGGAUUCAAUCGAACUUUGGUACUUGCCCUAAGGAUGCUAAUGAGGACACGGUCAAGACAUAUGCUCGUGUCUACAUGUGGUACGUGAUAUCCAGGACUAUGUUUGCUGAUGGCACAGGCAAGAAUGCUCCAUGGAUGUGGCUAAAGGCGUUGACCGUCUUCGAUAGCAAAUGGAGUUGGGGUUCGGCGACACUGGCUUACUUGUAUCGACAGGUAUGA